AUCACUUGAAGUAGAGCCCCUUAACAAUCUAGUUGAAAAACAGAAGUUUUCACUCUUGUGCAUUGCAUUUUUAUUGUUGGAAGUUAUAAAAUGCUAAGAUUAGGUCUUCAGUCUUUCUAUGCUAGAAUGGGCAAUGAUAGUGUCUCAUUUAGUUCAAAAAUUAUUCAUGUGUUAUGCUUCUGUCUAUUUCCUUCCUCACUUUCUCACAACUUUAUUAGGUCCACAACCAGAGCAUUGACUUGGAUUCUUUUAAUAACUGAAUCAAUCUUUGUAGUCUAUAAGUGCAAGGGCAUUAAAGGAGAUGUGUGAUUAUUUCCUCUGCCAUCUAAAACAGUUGCUGGGAUUUCUCAUAAUCAAUAUGGAGUUCACUUUUAGUCCUGUUUCCCACUUCUUGGUGCCUUGAUUUGUGAAUGAGCAUUUUAAAUUGACAUUGUGAUUAAGUUCUUCCCUCUAAUUCUAUGUGCAACCGUAAUUUUGAUUAAGUUGAAUUACCUGUUUGAUUGGACAUAUGCCUAGUGGGAUG
rnacentral:misc_RNA from 1 species